rfam:Yokenella regensburgei ATCC 43003 genomic scaffold Scfld157, whole genome shotgun sequence.
AAUGUUGAGGGCACAAUACGCCGCCUGCAAAAUCAGAGAUAAACCGACGAAAUUAAACGCGUCGGUUAUUUUUUUGC